AACGAACGCUGGCGGCAUGCCUAACACAUGCAAGUCGAACGAAACCUUCGGGUCUAGUGGCGCACGGGUGCGUAACGCGUGGGGACCUGCCCUUAGGUUCGGAAUAACUCCCCGAAAGGGGUGCUAAUACCGGAUAAUGUCUUCGGACCAAAGAUUUAUCGCCUUUGGAUGGGCCCGCGUUGGAUUAGCUAGUUGGUAGGGUAAGAGCCUACCAAGGCGACGAUCCAUAGAUGGUCUGAGAGGAUGAUCAGCCACACUGGGACUGAGACACGGCCCAGACUCUUACGGGAUGCAGCAGUGCGGAAUAGUGGACAAUGGGCGAAAGCCUGAACCAGCUCGGCCGCGUGAGUGAUGAAGGCCUUAGGGUUGUAAAGCUCUUUUACCCGUGCUGAUAAUGACAGUACCGGGAGAAUAAGCUCCGGCUAACUCCGUG
rnacentral:rRNA from 1 species